UCUCUCUCUCUCUCUCUCACUGAAGGUUUUUGUUAUAAACAUAGUGAAUUUUAGCUUCGUUGUCCUAAGAUGCUUGCAUGUUUAUUUGUCACUGAUAUUUUGUUUAAUCAUUGUUAAUAGUCGAAUAUGAUUCAUGAUAAUCCAAGCUUUGCAUGUAUAAGAGUGCAGUCUUAUUCUUUAGACAUAUAUAUACUACUUCAAAGGGACUUUAGAUUAAAGAUUGUUGUCUGGGAUUUUUCAGAGUUUCUUUGUUGUCCUAGUUUCUGCCAAGAACUUUUUCAAUGAGAACUAG
rnacentral:misc_RNA from 1 species